rnacentral:rRNA from 1 species
UACAGAGGGGGCAAGCGUUAUUCGGAAUUAUUGGGCGUAAAGGGCGCGUAGGCGGCUUGGCAAGUGGAUGGUGAAAUCCCUCGGCUUAACCGAGGAACUGCCGUCCAAACUGCUUCGCUUGAGACCGGGAGAGGUGAGUGGAAUUCCCAGUGUAGCGGUGAAAUGCGUAGAUAUUGGGAGGAACACCAGUGGCGAAGGCAGGUCUCUGGGCCACUACUGACGCUGAGAAGCGAAAGCAUGGGGAGCGAACAGG